CCAUGCUAAUAAAAGAGAAGUUUUUGGGUAUUGAAAUAGGUUGAUUUCAAUGUGAAAAGGCUGCUGGUUGGCUAUUGUUUUAACAUAGAAAAUUAGAGCUCCUGGCGUGCAGAUAAAGAGAGGAAAAAGGUCUUCCUCAAAGGCUGAAAAAUAGAAAAAUUGUUCCUCCUUCUUGGCAUGACAAAAGGUGAGGAAGAAGGUCUUCCUCAUGGGUUG
rnacentral:lncRNA from 1 species